UCUCUCAUGAAAAAGGAAGAGGCAUCCCUCCCCUUGUGGUCGCCCAAGAAGAAAAAAAGAUAAGGGAGCAUCCAAGAGUUGAACGCCCCAAACUCCUCACGCCUAUCCUCUCUUCUUCUCUUCUUUCUUAAGAUUUUGUUGCUAGUUUUUGUACAUCAAAGAGAGGCUUCUAUGCUAUUUUUACAGUAGAAAAUUGAGGAAGAAAAGUUCUUCCCAAAGAGAGAAAGAUCACGGAAGAAGAAGGGUCUUCUUUCUUGUGCGCAGCCUUGAAGAAGAAGAAGUUCUUCUUUCA
rnacentral:lncRNA from 1 species